UACGUAGGGGGCGAGCGUUGUCCGGAAUUAUUGGGCGUAAAGAGCGUGUAGGCGGUUCGGUAAGUCUGCCGUGAAAACCUGGGGCUCAACCCUGGGCGUGCGGUGGAUACUGCCGGGCUAGAGGGUGGUAGAGGCGAGUGGAAUUCCCGGUGUAGCGGUGAAAUGCGCAGAUAUCGGGAGGAACACCCGUAGCGAAGGCGGCACUCUGGGCCGGUACUGACGCUGAGGAGCGAAAGCGUGGGGAGCAAACAGG
rnacentral:rRNA from 1 species